rnacentral:rRNA from 1 species
GACGAACGCUGGCGGCGUGCUUAACACAUGCAAGUCGAACGGAAAGGCCCUGCUUUUGUGGGGUGCUCGAGUGGCGAACGGGUGAGUAACACGUGAGUAACCUGCCCUUGACUUUGGGAUAACUUCAGGAAACUGGGGCUAAUACCGGAUAGGAGCUCCUGCUGCAUGGUGGUGGUUGGAAAGUUUCGGCGGUUGGGGAUGGACUCGCGGCUUAUCAGCUUGUUGGUGGGGUAGUGGCUUACCAAGGCUUUGACGGGUAGCCGGCCUGAGGGGGUGACCGGCCACAUUGGGACGGGAAUACGGCCCAGACUCCUACGGGGGGCAGCAGUGGGGAAUAUGGCACAAGGGGCGGAAGCCGGAUGCAGCAACGCCGCGUGCGGGAUGACGGCCUUCGGGUUGUAAACCGCUUUCGCCGGUGACGAAGCGUGAGUGACGGUAAUGGGUAAAGAAGCACCGGCUAACUACGUG